CUCAGCCUCCUCACGCUGCUGCACCGGGAAGUUCUACGCCGGGAGGAGCCCACUCGCCUAAAUCUUCCUCCCCUGUUUCUCCUACUACUUCUCCUCCGGGAUCAAUGGCCCCUAAAUCCGGUUCCCAUGGUUCUCCGAUGACUUCACCGCCGGGAUCAAUGGCUCCUAAAUCCGAUACUCCUGUUUCUCCGGCGACUUCUCCCCCGGCUCCACCUAAAUCCACUUCCCCUGUUUCCCCAUCCUCCGCUCCGAUGACUUCACCGCCGGCACCAAUGGCACCCAAAUCAUCUUCCACUGUUCCUCCGUCUUCUGCUCCGAUGACUUCACCACCUGGACCAAUGGCACCUAAAUCUUCAACCCCUGUUUCAAACUCACCCGCCGUUUCUCCAUCUUUGGCUCCGGGAGGCUCU
rnacentral:lncRNA from 1 species